rnacentral:rRNA from 1 species
GGCGAAGGGGUGCGUAACACGUGAGCAAUCUGCCGGGAAGUGGGGGAUAACUCGCCGAAAGGCGAAUUAAUACCGCAUAUGGCCAGGAAGGACAUCCUUCCGAAGCCAAAGUCGCAAGACGCUUCCUGAUGAGCUCGCGGCCUAUCAGCUAGUUGGUGAGGUAACGGCUCACCAUCGCUAUGACGGGUAGCUGGUCUGAGAGGACGACCCGCCACACUGGAACUGACACACGGUCCAAACACCUACGGGUGGCAGCAGUCGAGAAUUUUUCCCAAUGGGGGAAACCCUGAUGGAGCGACGCCUUUUGGAGGAUGAAGGUUUUCGGAUUGUUAACUCCUGUCAUGUGGCAACAAGAAAGUGAUAGUCCCACAAGAUGAACAGACGGCUAACUCUGUGCCAGCAGCCGCGGUAAUACAUACGUCUCAAGCGUUGUUCGGAUUCCUUGGGCGCAAAGGGCGCCCAGGCUGUGGGGUAAGUCGGAUGUGAAAUUUACAGGCUCACCCCUAAACUGCAUUCGAUACUGCUCCGCUAGAGGUAUGUAGAGGAGAUCGGAAUUCCCCGGUGUAGCCGUGCAAUGCGUAGAUAUCGUGAGGAGGACCAGUGGCGAAGGCCAAUCUCUGGGGCAUUACCUGACCUCAUGCACAAAGGCCAGGGGAGCAAACGGGAUUAGAUACCCCGGGAGUCCUGGCAGAAAACGGCGGACGUUUGGUGUGGGGAGGGAUUCCACCCCUUCCGUGCCGGAG